rnacentral:rRNA from 1 species
GCCGCGGUAAUACGUAGGGUGCGAGCGUUAUCCGGAAUUAUUGGGCGUAAAGAGCUCGUAGGCGGUUUGUCGCGUCUGUCGUGAAAGUCCGGGGCUUAACCCCGGAUCUGCGGUGGGUACGGGCAGACUAGAGUGCAGUAGGGGAGACUGGAAUUCCUGGUGUAGCGGUGGAAUGCGCAGAUAUCAGGAGGAACACCGAUGGCGAAGGCAGGUCUCUGGGCUGUAACUGACGCUGAGGAGCGAAAGCAUGGGGAGCGAACAGGAUUAGAUACCCUGGUAGUCCAUGCCGUAUACGUUGGGCACUAGGUGUGGGGACCAUUCCACGGUUUCCGCGCCGCAGCUAACGCAUUAAGUGCCCCGCCUGGGGAGUACGGCCGCAAGGCUAAAACUCAAGGAAUUGACGGGGGCCCGCACAAGCGGC